UACGGGGGUUGCGAGCGUUGUUCGGAAUAACUGGGCGUAAAGCGAGCGCAGGCGGCUCGAUCAGUCUGAAGUGAAAUCCCAGGGCUCAACCUUGGGUCUGCUUUGGAUACUGUCGAGCUCGAGUACGUGAGAGGAGAGUGGAAUUCCAGGUGUAGCGGUGAAAUGCGUAGAUAUCUGGAGGAACACCGGUGGCGAAAGCGGCUCUCUGGCACAGUACUGACGCUGAGGCUCGAAAGCGUGGGGAGCAAACGGG
rnacentral:rRNA from 1 species